AGACCCAAGCAGAAGGCGGGACCCGAGGACGCCGCAACCCAGGCGAUGCCUAAACCUGCGGUCCGGGUGCUAUGGCUGGGGCGGCUGCACUACGCCGAACUGCUGGGGCUGCAGGAGCGCUGGUUGCGACGAAUGCAAGCCGAACCUGGCACAGAGGCCCCGCUGGGGGCUGAGGCAGGCGCGCUCCUGCUCUGCGAACCCGCGGGACCCGUGUAUACAGCUGGGUUGCGCGGCGGCCUGACGCCCGAGGAAACUGCGCGGCUACGGGCCUUGGGCGCAGAGGUGCAUGCCACAGGUCGCGGCGGCCUGGCUACUUUCCAUGGCCCAGGCCAACUGCUCUGUCACCCCGUGCUCGACCUGCGGCACCUCGGCCUGCGCCUGCGCACCCACGUAGCGGCGCUGGAGGCGUGCGCAGUGCGCCUGUGUGAGCUCCUAGGCCUGCGGGGAGUGCGGGCGCGGCCCCCGCCCUACACCGGCGUCUGGCUGGGCGAGUGCAAGAUCUGCGCAAUCGGAGUUCGCUGUGGAAGGCACAUCACAUCCCAUGGCCUGGCUCUGAACUGCUCUACAGACCUCACGUGGUUUGAGCACAUUGUGCCCUGUGGACUGGUUGGGACAGGGGUCACUUCCCUGAGUAAGGAGCUCCAGAGGCGUGUUACUGUGGAUGAAGUAAUGUCACCUUUCCUUAUGGCCUUUGAGGAAACCUACAAAUGCACGUUGGUCUCCGAGGACAGCCUCAACUAAAGGCAUUCAUGUCAGCACAGCUAUGAUGGUUCUGUACUGGAAAGCACCAGAUCUGACUUCAGGCAUCAGAACCUCAAUUCUAGAGCUAGUGUAUCAUUUUAUGACCAUGAUACGGAGGGCAAAUCAUGAGCUCUGAGACAUGGUUUCCUUAGGUUACCUGGCCAACCCUGGGCAAGUGAUGUUAGAGAGAGGCAAGAUUGGAAUCACCAUGCUUUUUAUGACCCAGUCUUGGAAGUUGCAUGGAUAUUUUCUGCAGUCUUCUAACAAAUGAGACCAAUUUUAGUGUGCAAGGACCAUCAUAGGAAAUGUAAGAGGUAAGAUCUUUAGGGCCCCUCCUAGAGACUGGCUCCCACAGCCCAUGAAGAGUGGAAGGAGCCUUUACACUGAGGAGUCAAGGGAUCCUGUUUCCAGUCUUGGCUCUGUGAAAAGGUCCUUUCCUUUCUGGGCUUCACUCUAACCUUCAAGUGGUACCAUGCCCUACAAAUAUAAUGGGAGCUACAUUGCUUUAUUAAAAUGUUUUUAAAAAAUAGAGUGAUGUUAGUUUACAUUUCUCAUAAUUUAUUAAAAAUAUGAAGCAUUACAAGUAAUAUUUUACAAUUUUUCAUAGUAAGUCUUCAAAAUCUUGUGUGUAUUUUGCUUGUAUAGUACACCUAAAAAGUGGACUAGCCACUUUUUUUUUUUUUGGAGACAGGGUCACAGUAUGUAUUCCAGGCUGGGCUUGAACUCACUGUGUACUUCAGGCUGGCCUCCAACUCCUGGCAGUGCUCCUGCUUCAGCGUUCUGAGUGCCAGGAUUCCAGGUGUGCACCAUCACAUCCAGCUGUACUGGCCACAUUAUGUAAAUGUUCAUCAAUCACAUGAGGUAGCCUUAGACUGAUUAUUGUGUCUAAAGUCCUCUUGAGUUCCCAGGGUUUUAUGACCUCCCUGGCUUCUAGGAAGAAAAAAAAGUCCCCACACAUCUGAGAUCUGACUACUGAGUACAAAUAAUUUAUGUCUUUUGUUCAAGCUGAAACAUUAAAGGUAAUAUUUUUACCUCCUGUUUACAGGGAUGAAAACCAAGGUUAUGCAGUAACUUAAUGCCAAAACCAGGACCAAGUCUCAGGUGUGAACCCUUUGUCAUGCCCCUUUCCUGCUGUACACAUUGACUUAGAGCUCAGAACAGUGUGCUUUCUGUGUCAUAGACAAUCAAUAUUAGUUAAUUAAUGGUUUGUCCGCCCAUUAUUUGGCUCAUAUCCUUAGUUUCCCAUCCAUGCUACCAUUGUCAGGGUGUAUGAGUUCAGAAGUGGUUGAUAAUUACCUUCUAGUAUUACUGCCAAGAAGGUAAAUAAUUAUUCCAGGAAAAAUGUAAUUAGAUACUCAGGGUUAAAUACAUAGUGUUUCUACCCACCUGAUACUUGGCCUUCCUCUCUAGCAGCCCUAAUAAGUGAUCAUACAAUUUAUUCUUGAGUGACUCUAGACACAAAAAAACAUUUACUAAAAACCUAUUUAUGGUGCCAAGUCCUACUAUAUUAACCCUCUUACAUAUAUUCUUUCUUUGGGCAGCCUGUCUGGUCCUAAAUCACAGAAAAUCACUGCAUGGUGGUGUGAUUGUUUACUCAACUUUCCUGAGCCUCAGUUUCAUCACAUGAAACUAAGAUGAUUAAGGCAUCUGCCUCAGCAUGGAAAGAAUUAAGUACCUAAUGACAGAUGAAACACUUGAGUGUAGUGUUGACACAGAAUAAAUGUCAGUACAUAUUAUCAUCAUUAUUAAAUUUUGUUCUCUAUAAGCCUUCUUGAAGAAAUUAUUCCCAGUCCCUUUAAUGUCCCCCUGAGAUAGUAGGAUCCUCAUGAAUGGAGCUUUAACUGUCUUCCUUCAUAUUCUGGCAUCUAGCACAGGGUCUGUCAUACAGCAGACUAGUUAUACAUACUAAUUAAGUGGAACUGAACUAUAUGAAGUCUUCUCCCAUCCUGCCUUGUAUACUUGUUGUGUACCAGCCACAGCUCAUGUAUGUCCCAGUAGUUCCUGUUCCCUUGGUAUGAACUGACCACUGAAAAGCAUGCAUUUCCUCUGUUGGAGUUACAGGGCACAAACUCAUGGGCUGCUAUGAACCUACAGGAGUGUUCCCUUUGGUCAUCAGAAGGUUUGUAUGGGUAUAUGUAUAUAUUUAUGUUAAAUAGUUGUCAACCUUUAAAAAUGGGCUUUUUACCUGACAGUUGAUCAGAGCUGAGAAGUAGUAUGUGUGUUUUAAGUUGUACUCUCCAGUUAGCUGCACUCCCCUUUUCCCCAUUGGCCUACCUGCUGACAUCAGUUUUCAUGAUCCUUGGAAGCAUUUGAGUUAAUGACCCCUGAGCUACACAUUUUCUUUUUUGAAAUCCAGUAGGAUGCAGACCACUGUAUCAAAGUUCCACUUUUAUGUCAUAGUCAUGGGAGGCCUUUACAGAAAUACCAUGCUGGGCACUCAGAAGGCUGAGGCAGAAGAAUUAUGAGUUUGAGACCAGCCUAGAUUACGUAGUGAGACUUCGAGAGAGAGAGAGAGAGAGACAAACAGACAAAGACAGAAAGAAAGAGAAUAUGAGAACGGGGGAAAUCUAAAAAGCAUGUGAGAAAAAUGCUCAACAUCACUAGUCAUCUGGGAAGUGCAAGUCAAAACCAUAAUGAAGUAUCAUUCUAGCCAAAUGACUGUUAUUGAAAAGAGUAAAGAUACUUUAUUAGUUUUUCCAUUGCUGGGACAAAAUACCUAGCACCUGUACCUUAAGGAAAGAGGGUUCAGGGGCUGGGGAUUUAGCUCAGCGGCAUAAGCACCUGCCUUGCAAGCAGGCAGUCGUGAGUUCGAUCCCCGGUACCGAUAAAAAAAAAAAAAAAAAAAAAGGGCUGGGGAUUUAGCUCAGCGGCAUAAGUGCCUGCCUUGCAAACAGGCAGUCCUGAGUUUGAUCCCUGGUACCGAUAAAAAUGAAAAAAAGACAAAAAAAAAAAAAAAAAAAGGAAAGAGGGUUCAGUUUUGGCUCACCCUAUUGUCAACUGGAUCCAAGGUAGAAGAGGCAUAGUGCAAGAACCUGAAAGAGGAAGGCUGCUCAACCCAUGGCAGUCAGGAAUUAGUGAGAAAGGAAGAGCCAGAGAGGAAAAAAAAACCCUCCAAAGGUACACCCCCAGUGAUCCACCUCCAGCUGGAUCCCACAUUCUAACAGUGCAUUCAGCCGUGAACUCAACAAAGGAUUAAUCCUCUGGUGAAUUUAGUACCCCCAGAAUCGAACCACCUUCCAAGAGCCCCAAUCUUGAAUACAGACUUUUGGGGGAUAUUUUGGAUCUAAGCCAUAACAAUGAAAAGGGAGAUCUAGCACACUAUGAGUGGGAAUGUAAAUUAAUAUAUUUACAAUAGAAAACUGUGUAAGAAUGUAAAAAAAAAAAAAUAGAAUAUUGGACUUUUGGGAGAGUGGUGGAGUGGUGAAAAGCAGAGAAAGAGCCUCUCUGGGAUUGGUGUCCAGACACUGGAAUAUAGCAGCAUGAGGAUGAGGAGAAAGUGGGUUUCCAGGAACCAGCAAGGAUCUGAAGAAAGAAUUGAUCUCCAGAGGGAGAAUGACGAGAGACUUCAAUGAAGGAGGAGUGGGGGGAUGGCACUUUCUUCCUGAGCCCUGACUCAUUGCAUGGGAAGGGUGGCUUGAACCUGCAGAUGCAUGGUAACCACUGGUGACCUCUGGAGCAGUGGAUACAGUGGACUGUUGUGGCUGAUGAGCUAUUUGGAGUCAGAUGUUCCCCAGGAGAAGGCAGUUGGCCAGUAGUCAACUUGAAGAGGAGACAGCUGAGCUCAGAACUCAGGGCAGCUACAAGCACACUCUAUGUUGUGGCUCCAAGUGUCAGGAUGAGGUGGGCCUGAGUUCAAACCAGACACAAAUUGGGUUGUAGUCUCCCAGGCAGAAAACAGCCUGAACUUCAGUGGAACUAAAAGUGCAGAUUUGCUGGGGUUACCCCCACUUACUGGGGUUAAUCAGCAUGGAUCUGGACUCUGCCUACUUUGUCUACCAGUGACAGCAGAGACAUGCCUUGAAGUGGACAGUUUUUUCUUAUUUUUUCUUAUUUUUGCUUUUUAUUUUGUUACAUUUUAUUCUUAAUCUUCUUGUUUUUUAUGAGUGUGACCAUCAUCUCCAGUUUGUUGUUGGUGGUCUUUUUUUUCUUAUUUAAAGAGAAUAAAACAAAACAAAACAGAAUAAAGCUAGUCAGAACAGAAAAAUGAAAAUGAUACAGGACUUCAAAACAAGAUAAUAGGAAAUCAACAAUGGCUAUCAUAAUGUCUCUUCUUUUCUUCAAAAUAGCUGUCCAUACCAUCGGACACAGUAAAAUUAAACAGAACAAGACAGAAUAAAACAAAGUUAUGAAAACAAUACAGGAAUUGAAAACAAGACAAUAGGAAAUUAACAAUGGUUACCACCUUCCCUUUUUACGUGUUUCCUCCCUUAUUACUUUCAUAAUAUCUGUUGUACAUUUUGGAUCCCACUAACUCCUUCAGUUUUUUACACUAGAAGACAACAUGAUGCUCACCCUUAAUGAGAUAAACCAUUUCACUCAUGAGCAUGAUCUUACAUCCAUUUACCUAUAAGCACUUCAAGAUUUUCCUUCUUUAUAGCUGAGUAGCUUUCAAUUGUAUGAAAAUAUCAUAUUUUUCUUAUCCAUUCCACAGUUGAUAGGCAGGCUACCCCUGCUUUUUUUGGUUUCCGAUUGCAUGGAGCAUUGUUUUCUCUCCUUUGACUUUGUCAAUGAAUUUCCUUUCAAGUUAAAUGUGUUUCUUAUGUAUAGCAUAUUGACGGAUCUUAAUCCACUCUUGUUUCUUUUUAUUGUUGAAUUGAGGCCAUCUACAUGAAUGUUUAGAACCAAGAUGCAUUGGCUUGUCUCUGCCAUGCUAUCCUCCUGCUAUUGGCACCCCACUUUUCCCCUUCAUUCAAUUCCCUGCCUGGGUUGGCAGUCCCCCUCUGCUGCUAUUCCUGAAAGUGUGGUCAUCUUUAUCUCUCUCUAGAAUAUCCUUUAGCACUCUAUAGGGUUGGUUUGGUGGGAAUGAAUUCCUUCAGUUGUUCUUUACCAUGGAAGUAUCCUAUUUUUCCAUCAAUUUUGAGAGAGAGUUUUGCAGGGUACAUCAAUCUGGAUUGGAAGUUGCUUUCUUUCAGGAUGUUAAACACUUCACCCCAAGCUCUUCUUGCCUUGAUGGUUUGUAUUGAGAAGUCUUCUGUGAUUCUGAUGAGUUUUCCUUUAUAGUUGAUCUGUUUCUUUUCUCUAACAGUCCUUAAUAUUCUGUUCUUGUGCUGAAUUCCUGGCUUCUUGAUUAUGAUAUAUCUGGGUAUAGAUGUAUUUUAGUUAUGGCUAAUUGGAGUCCUAUGUGCCUCAUAUAUCUAUAUGCCAAGUUUUUUCCCCAUGUUUGGGAAUUUUUCUGCUAAUUUUAUUCUACUUCUGUAAAUAGUCUUUUUAUAUCAUUUGUCUGAUCCCCACCCACAUUUUUGCUGACACCUAUCACUCUUAAAUUAUUUUUCUUUGUGUUGUCUUGCAGCUGUUGAAUUGUUAUUUCCUGGCUCCUUGUUAUUUUUAAGAGAUCUUUUCUUUCAUGAUCACUAGCUGCAAUCCUGUCUUCAAGGCCUGAAAGUCUAUCUUCAGUCUCCUUCAAAUGGUUUUACCAGCUUUUGAUGGAGUUUUUAAUUUCCUGGAUAUCUUUUUUGAAUCUGUUUCAUGCAUUAUAAUUCCUUCCUAUAUUGUCCAAUCAAGGUUUCCAUCAUUUUCCUAUGCUCUUCUUGUUUAUUUAUGUCUUCUUUAGGUAUGCUCAGCAAUUCUUUCAUUGUGUUUAUGAUUUUUUCUUUUUCCUGAGAUGAUAUUUUGGGUUUGAUUACUUUUAUAGCCACAUGAAAUGUUUCUUUACUUCAGUUGCUAUCCUUUCAGAGAUUUCAGGUAUGUGACUUUCAUUUUAUUCCAUGUCUGUAUCUCCCAGAUUUGUUCUUUGUUGACUGCAGUUCUGAGAUUGCUUUUUGCUUCUUCAUCAUGACAUUUUCCUAGAUUCCUCCCAGCAUGCCAGUUACGGGAUCCCAGGUGCUUCCCAUGUUGGCUGCCCCUCCACAGUAUAAGGGAAUGGGCCAGGCAUCUGGAUUUCUCCAAACCCAGGUUUCCAGGAAGGUACUGGGGCAUGGGGCAAGCUUCUCCAGACCUGUGCAGCUACAUUGAGGCUUCCCCAAUGGCCAUGGGUGUAAUGUGUGUGUGGGGGGGGGGGCUGCUGCUUCUCUCAGCCUGUAUGGCUACACUGGGACUACCCUAAUGGUGGCAGGUGCACAGGGCUGUGUUUAUCUGAUUCUUUAGCCCAUGCUGGCUGCCCACAGGAAACAAGCAUCUCUAGUGGUGGCCUAUGGGCUACACUGGUCACCUGAGCAAAGCAAGUGUCCCAAUAACAGCAUAUGUGCAGGGGUGAAUCUGGGUAUUUCUCCAUAUCCACACUGAUUACCUGAGGGAAACAGGUACCCUGAUGGUGGCAGAUAUGCAGGGGCAAGUCUGGCUGUUUCUCCCUGCCUGUGCUGUCUGCCCACAGGAAGCAAGUUUUCCAAUGCUUUUUUUUUUUUUUUUUUUUUUUUGGUUUUGAGACAGGGACUCACUAUGCAGUUCAGGAUGGCCUUCAACUCACUUUGUAUCCCAGGCUGGCCUCAAACUCAUAGCCAUCCUCCUGCCUCAGUCUCCUCAUGUACUAGGAUUAUAGGUAUGUGCCACCAUGUGUGGCUUGUUUCUAGAUUUUUGUUCUUGUUUCUUUUUUUCCUUCUCUUCUUCCCUCCAGUCUUUUUCUUCACCAGUUUCCCAAAGUUUGCAUAAUCUUUCUUUAUCCUCCAGACUUGCUUCGAAUCUCUUCCUUUUCUUAUAUUUCUCAAAUUUCCCCACAAACCCUUUUAAAUUUUCUCCCCUGAAAGUAAAUUCCAUGCCAUGAUGGGAUAUUUACUGUAAACAAUUUUUAGUUUGUUUUAGAUUUUAUAUAUAUAACACAAAUCUACUUCACACAGUAACAGGCAGAAAAUUAAUAGUUACCACAGUUUCUAUGUUGUGUUUACUGCUGCUGUUAUUGCUGAUUGUACUGUUUUAGCCAAGCUGACAUAAUUGUUCUAAUCAAUUGUUCUUCCUGGUAUCCUAAGACUGAGAUUGCCUGAGUCAUAAAAGUACUAUUGACCAGUGCCAAACAAUCAGGGCCUAAGCCAACUAGGCAGUGACUUCUCAUACCCAAUAAAUUGAAGAGGUAGGAUCUUGCAACAGACUCAAAACUUAGUUACACCUGGAUGACAUCUUGGAGAAGUAAUCAUUUCCUAAGGGUUAUACAUAAUAGUAAUUAAGGUACUUUCCAUAAUUAGUUUAUAAGCAUCAUCCCAGGAAUUAAACUAAAAAAAAGAAAAUGAGAAGAUACUUAAGCAAGGUGCAGCCCCACACUUCUAGCUCACCAAAGGCUCACCCAUGAGGAAUGAAGUGGAGCAAUUCAAAAGCCACCAACUUGGACUCUGAAGUGAUAACAGCAGAAGCAACAAAGUGGAUGAGUCUCCAGAAAAAAUCAAAUCUGAUUUUUUUUUGGUACUCACUACUCAUGCUUGCCAGCAGGUACUUAUGCCACUGAGCUAAAUCCCCAGCCCCAAGAAUAGAGGUACUUAGAAAAAUGAUGGAAAUCAUGAACGCCCUGGAAAGAAAUGGAAUCGAUGAAACAUAUUCAAACAUACUCAAAUUUCAUUGAAAGUAUAUGCAGCAGAAUGAGUCAAUGUGAGGACAGAAUCUCAGAUAGAGAAGACAAGUUGUAGUUAGCAAUCAUGAAAAGAAAGAUUUCUUUAAAAUAGUAUAGGACCAUGAAAAAUCAAUCCCACAGCUGCUAGAUAAUGCAAAGGAGAAAAACAUAAACUUGACAGAGUCAAUGAGCAUGUGAAAACACAAAUGAUAUAAAAAACCUGUUCAUAGAAGUAGUGGCAGAAAAUUUCCCAAGUAGAGAGAAAGAAUUUAGCAUACAGAUAAGUGAGGCAUGUAGAACUCCCAUUAGCCAUGAUCAAAAUAAGUCUACUGCAAGGUAUAUACUAGUCAAGGUUCCAGAAAUCCAACACAAGAAUAGCAUAUUAAAAGCUGUUGGAGAAAAGAAACAAGUCACCUAUAAAGUCCAUCAGAAUCACAGCCCAUCAGAAACACAGCAGACUUUUCAAUAUAACUCUCAAGUCAAGGAGAGCUUAGAGUGAAAUAUUUUAAGCACUAAAAGAAAACCACCUCCAACCCAGAUUCGUAUACUCUGCAAAACUGUCUUUCAAAAUUGAUGGAGAAAUAAGAUACUUCCAUGACAAAGAACACCUGAAGAAAUUCAUGACCACCAAACCAGCAUUCCAAAUUGUUCUGAAAGACAUUCUAGAAAAAGAUAACAAGUACUCCAGUUCCAUGAGCCACGAGGCAAGGCAAGCAAUUAACAAGGGAAAAAGGGAAACCAACAGCAAGAAAAUAGCAUGAUAAGGGUAAGUCAAUACAAAUGCAUACCAGUUAUAGCCAUCAAUGUUAAUGGCCUCAAUUCACCAAUGAAAAGAAACAGACUAACACAAUGAAUUAAGAAACAAGGUCACCAAAUGCUGCACACAAGAAAACAUUUAAUUCAAAAAGAAAUUCAUAGACUGAAAGUUAGAUAAUGGAAAAUAAUACUCCAUGCAACAGGAACCCAGGAAAAAGUGAGGGUAACUAUUAUAUUUACAGACAAAAUGGUUUUCAAGCCAAGACUGAUUAGGAGAGACAAAGACAAUCUCUACAUCCAAAUAAAAUGAACAGUCCAAGAGAUAACAAUCAUCAAUAUACAUGCAACAAAUACCAGCACAUCCAACUAUAUAAAACAAGUAUUAACAGUCAUAAAAAAAUCAAAUAAGGACUAACACAAUUAUAAUGGAGGAUUUCAAUACCCCACUAUCACAAAUAGAUCAACUAGACAAAAAUCAACAAAAUAUCAGAACUGAACCAAACUUUUGAACAAAUGAACUUAGUAGAUAUUUCCAUAGUAUUCCAUCACACAUCAUAAUUACACAUUCUUCUCAGCUGUAUACAGAAUGUUCUUUAAAAUAGGCCACAUACUAGCUUAUACAACAUACUUCAGUAAAUGCAAAACAGUUGAAAUUAUACUAUGCAUAUUAUCACACCAUAGUGCAAUGAAAUUGGAAAUCAAUGGCAAAAGAAAACAAAAAUUUCAUAAACACAUGGAAAUUAAAUGAAACCCUCUUGAACAACCAGUGGGUCACAGGUGAAAUUAAGGAAUUUAGAUAGCUUCUACAAUUAAACAAUAAUGCUGUUGCAACAUAUUAGAAUUCAUGGAAAAUAUUCCUAUGAGAGAAAUUUAUAGUGGUGAAAUCCCAUAUCAGAAAAACACAGUGACUCAAAGAAAACAAUACAAAGAAUCAAUGGUUCUUUGAAAGAUUAAAUAAAAUUGAGAAAUCCUUCAGCCAACCUUAUCAAAAAAGGAAACAAAAGACUCAAAUCCAUGCAAUUAGGAAGGAAAAGGUGAAAUCACAACAGGUCCUAUAGAAAUGCAGAAGAUCAUCAGUACCUGACUUGAGAACCUGUGUUCUAAUAGACGGAAAACAGAACAAAUGGACAGAUUCCUAGAUAUAUAUCAAUUACCAAAGCUGAUUGAAGAAGAUACAAAAAUUUUGAACAAACCAGUAUCAGUCAGUGAAACUAAAGACAUAAUUAAAAACCUAUCAGCAAAGAAAAGUGCAGGCUCUGACAGACUCACUGCUGAAUUCUGCAAGAAACUUAGAAAAUACCUAAUGCUGCUACUUCUUAAUGAAAUUGAAAGGGAAGCAAUACUACUAUUUCAUUCCUGGAAACAAAUAUUACCCUGAUACUAAAAUCAGAGAAGAAUCCAACCAAAAAAGAGAAGUACUGGACAAUUUCCCUCAUGAACAAAGAUGCAAAAAUCCUGAAUAAGAUACUGGCAAAGAGAAUGCAGCAAAUCAUCAAGAAGAUCACACACCAUGACCAAGUAGGAUUCAUCCUAGGGAUUCAGAGAUGAUCCAACAUAGGCAAAUCAAUAAAUGUAAUGCAUCAAAUUAAAAGUGACAAGGACAAAACCAUAUGUCAUCUCAAUAGAUACAAAAGGCAUUUAAUGGAUCCAAUUCCCAUUCAUGAUAAAAAAAUACUACAGAAAAUUGGAAUAGGUGGUCUUUAUCUCAAUCUAAUAAAAGACAUCUAUGACAGAACAACAGCCAACAUCAUACUAAAUGGACAAAAACUGAAAGCUUUCACUCUAAAAUCAGGAAUAAGACGAGGAUAUCAAAUAUCACCACUCCUAUUUGAUAUAGUUCUAGAAACAUUAGGCAGAGCAAUUAGACGAGAAAGAAAAGGAAUAAGGAUAGGAAAGGAAGAAGCUAAAUUAUUAUUUGUGGAUGAUAAGAUACUCUACAUAUAAGAUCCCCAAACUCAACCUAAAGACUUCUAGAUUUAAUAACCAAAUUCAGUACCAUAGCUGGAUACAAAGUCCAACACUCAAAAAUCUAUAGUAUACCUAUACACAAAAGCAACUCACUGAGAGAGAAAUCACAGAAACAACACCUUUCACAAUAGCAUUCCAAAAAAUGAAAUACCGAGGAAUCAACCUAAUGAAGGAAGUAAAUGAAUUUUACACUGAGUACUUUAUAGUACUCUGGAAAAGGAUAUCAGAAAUUGGAACAAUAUCCCUAGAUUACAGAUAGGAAGAACCAAUCUAGUGAAAAUAACUAUACUUCCAAAUUUGAUACACAGAUUAAGUGCAAUCCUGAUCAAAAUACCAAUAGCAUAUGUCAUAGAAUUAGACAAAACAAUCCUAAAAUUCAUCUGGAACCAGAAGAGACCUAGAAUAGCAAAAGUAGUCCUGGGCAACAAAGGCAAGGCAGGAGGUAUCACAAUCCCUGACAUGAAAUUAUUCUACCAAGCUACUGUGAUAAAAACAACAUGGGACUGGUAAAAAAAAUGAAAUAAAAAAUGAGACACAAGGGUCAGUGGAACAUAUUAGAAGAUGCAGAAACAACUCCAGAUAUACUCAGCCAUAACACUUUGACAAAGGAACCAAAUACCUUCCCUGGAGAAAUAUAGACUCUGUAGGGCCGGAGAGUUAGCUCUGCAGCACAGUGCCUACCUGGUAUGCAUGAAGUCCUGAGUUUGGUUCCCAGUACAAAAGAAAAAAAAUACAGCCUCUUUAAUAAAUGGUGCUGAGAAAACUAGCUUUCCACACAUUGAAGAGUAAAACUAACCCAUAUCUUUUACCAUGCACUAAACUAAAAUUGAAAUGGAUCAAAAUCUAAAUGUUAAAAACAGAACAACUAAAUCUGCUGGCAGAUAGAUUAGGUAAAACUCUUGAAGACAUUGGUGUGGUCAAAGACUUUAUAUAAAAAACCCCACUUGGACAGGAAA